rnacentral:misc_RNA from 1 species
AACGCACAUUGCGCCCUUUGGUAUUCCGAAGGGCAUGCCUGUUCGAGCGUCAUUAUCAACCCUCAAGCCUAGCUUGCGAUUGGAUCUUUCGUCGUCAAAAGACGGGUCCCAAAGCGAAUGACGGAGUCUGUCGGACCCUAGAUGCAACGAGCUCUCUACGACAGCACGCAUCAAAGGGCCCGACGGCUUUGGUCUCAACCAUCUCUUCAUAACAAGGUUGACCUCGGAUCAGGUAGGGAUACCCGCUGAACUUAA